UACGGGGGGAGCAAGCGUUGUUCGGAUUUACUGGGCGUAAAGGGCGCGUAGGCGGUCGUGACAAGUCACUUGUGAAAUCUCCGGGCUUAACUCGGAACGGUCAAGUGAUACUGUCGGACUAGAGUACAGAAGGGGCAACUGGAAUUCUCGGUGUAGCGGUGAAAUGCGUAGAUAUCGAGAGGAACACCUGCGGCGAAGGCGGGUUGCUGGGCUGAUACUGACGCUGAGGCACGAAAGCGUGGGGAGCAAACAGG
rnacentral:rRNA from 1 species